UAUCCCCAGAAUGAGGGAGCACAUUGGUAUGAACACCAAACUAAUCAUGUUUCUUUUUGACUUUCAGAUCAAGGGUUGCCACUUAUCCCUUAGGUGAACUCUUUUACUAUACAAAAGCUCAUGCAAGUACCAGCAAAAGGAAAAUAUUGCAAUUCCCUUUUCUCUGUGUGGAAUUUAUAUGGAAAGAAGUUGUGGAGACAGGAAGAGUUUUUAGAAGGGACAGAACCACUUGAACAUAUAUUCCUUUACCUAAAUUAUGACCUGUGCCUGGAGUCCCAUGCUCCCUUCUGAUCAACCCCAAACUUUCUUCUCUGAAUUGGAACUAUGAGCCAGAACUGUUUGUGAGCAAUUGACUUUCCAAUUAACACCAGCUGCACCUCCUUCCAGCAAAGGGGCCCUUAUAAUCUGUUUUUGACCAGCUAUUUGACCCUCUUACUGUUUCUGUGUAGAAAGCUCCUGAAACUGCUGCUAUUGUUG
rnacentral:lncRNA from 1 species